rnacentral:rRNA from 1 species
AUUGAACGCUGGCGGCAGGCCUAACACAUGCAAGUCGAACGAGUGGCGGACGGGUGAGUAAUGUCUGGGAAACUGCCUGAUGGCGGGGGAUAACUACUGGAAACGGUAGCUAAUACCGCAUACCAUCGGAUGUGGCCAGAUGGGAUUAGCUAGGAGGUGGGGUAAAGGCAUACCAAGGCGACGAUCCGUAACUGGUCUGAGAGGAUGAUCAGUCACACUGGAACGGAGACACGGUCCAGACUCCUACGGGGGGCAGCAGUGGGGAAUAUUGGACAAGGGGCGAAAGCCUGAUCCAGCCAUGCGGCGUGUGUGAAGAAGGUCUUCGGAUGGUAAAGCACGUUAAGUUGGGAGGCGUUACCAACAGAAUAAGCACCGGCUAACUUCGUGCCAGCCGCCGCGGUAAUUC